rnacentral:rRNA from 1 species
UACAGGGGGUGCAAACGUUGCUCGGAAUUAUUGGGCGUAAAACGCGCGUAGGCGGCCACUUAAGUCGGAUGUGAAAGCCCCUGGCUCAACUGGGGAAGUGCACCCGAAACUGAAUGGCUUGAGUGCGAAAGAGGGUCGCGGAAUUCCCGGUGUAGAGGUGAAAUUCGUAGAUAUCGGGAGGAACACCGGUGGCGAAGGCGGCGACCUGGGUCGACACUGACGCUGAGGCGCGAAAGCGUGGGGAGCAAACAGG